rnacentral:rRNA from 1 species
CCUACGGGAGGCUGCAGUGGGGGAUAUUGGACAAUGGGGGAAACCCUGAUCCAGCGACGCCGCGUGAGUGAAGACGUAUCUCGGUAUGUUAAGCUCUAUCAGCAGGGAAGCAGAAAUGACGGUACCUGAGUACGAAGCCCCGGCGAACUACGUGCCAGUAGCCGCGGUAAUACGUAGGGGGCAAGCGUUAUCCGGAAUUACUGGGGGUAAAGGGAGCGUAGACGGUGAUGUAAGUCUGGAGUGAAAGGCGGGGGCCCAAACCCCGGACUGCUCUGGAAACUAUGUGACUGGAGUGCAGGAGAGGUGAGCGGAAUUCGUAGUGUAGCGGUGAAAUGCGUAGAUAUUAGGAAGAACACCAGUGACGAAGGCGGAUGACUGGACGACGACUGACGGUGAGGCGCGAAAGCGUGGGGAGCGAACAGGAUUAGAUACCCGUGUAGUC